CGUUGAAACACCGGUUCCCGUACGAUCAUCGAAGUUAAGCAACGUCGAGUCUGGUCAGUACCUAGAUGGGUGACCACUUGGGAAUAUCAAGUGCUGUAAG
rnacentral:rRNA from 1 species